rnacentral:rRNA from 1 species
UACGGGGGGGGCAAGCGUUGUUCGGAAUUACUGGGCGUAAAGGGCGCGUAGGCGGCCUGCUAAGUCGGACGUGAAAUCCCUCGGCUCAACCGGGGAACUGCGUCCGAUACUGGCGAGGCUUGAAUCCGGGAGAGAGAUGUGGAAUUCCAGGUGUAGCGGUGAAAUGCGCAGAUAUUGGGAGGAACACCAGCGGCGAAGGCGGCACUCUGGGCUGGUACUGACGCUGAGGAGCGAAAGCCAGGGGAGCAAACGGG